rnacentral:rRNA from 1 species
GAUGAACGCUAGCUACAGGCUUAACACAUGCAAGUCGAGGGGUAACGAGAGGAAAGCUUGCUUUCCUUGUCGACGACCGGCGCACGGGUGAGUAACGCGUAUCCAACCUGCCCCCAACUAAGGAAUAACCUUGCGAAAGUAAGACUAAUACCUUAUACUUUCCUCAGAUGUCAUCUGACGAGGAAUAAAGAUUUAUCGGUUGUGGAUGGGGAUGCGUCUGAUUAGCUUGUUGGCGGGGUAACGGCCCACCAAGGCAACGAUCAGUAGGGGUUCUGAGAGGAAGGUCCCCCACAUUGGAACUGAGACACGGUCCAAACUCCUACGGGAGGCAGCAGUGAGGAAUAUUGGUCGAUGGGCGAAAGCCUGAACCAGCCAAGUAGCGUGCAGGAUGACGGCCCUAUGGGUUGUAAACUGCUUUUAUACAGGAAUAAAGUUAGCCACGUGUGGUUAUUUGUAGGUACUGUAUGAAUAAGGACCGGCUAAUUCCGUGCCAGCCGCCGCGGUAA